AGCUGGUGAUCUUCACCAACCAGAUGGGCAUUGGACGAGGGAAACUGCCAGCAGAGGAGUUCAAGGCCAAGGUGGAGGCUGUGGUAGAGAAGCUGGGGGUUCCCUUUCAGGUAUGACUAGAAUGGAGGCUAGGGCCAGGGUAGGGUAACAAAGACCCUUGGGUGGGAGACAAACCCAGAGAGAGUCCCUGGGAUGUAUGGGACAGAGGCCUCUGCUGGGGUCAAGCCAUGAGCAGUUGUCAUGAGCUGUAUAUCCCAGAGCAUGGGCAGCUCUCUGGGGCUUGGUACCCAGCUCUUUGGGGCUUGGAAGAGCUGAGGAUGGUGUGUGACCCCUGCCCCACUUCAGGUGCUGGUGGCUACACAUGCAGGCCUGUAUCGGAAGCCGGUGACUGGCAUGUGGGACCAUCUGCAGGAGCAGGUGAGCUGUACCUCCUCUUCCCCUUGCUCUAGCCCCUGUUUCUUAGGGCUUGUUCUUUCUCUCCUCCCUUAGUCCUUGUCAUGUGGUUUAGCUGUCAGGUCCUAGGUGCUGGUAUAUGAGGUCAGUACCAUUAAGCUGAAGUCAGAGGUUGCAUCAGGAGCAGAGACAGGAGGGUAAGUUUGAGUCAGCCUGGGCAACUUAGGGAGACCCUGUCUCAAACUAUAAAAUAAGCCGGGCACAGUGUCGCAUGAAUGAAAUCCCAGCGGCUCAGGAGGCUGAGGCUGAGUUCAAAGGCAGCUGAUCAAACUCACUGAUCAGGAGUUCAAAGCUGGCCUCAGCAAAGGUGAAGCACUAAGCAACUCAGUGAGACCCUGUCUCUAAAUAAAAUACAAAAUAGGGCUGGGGAUGUGGCUCAGCUGUAGAGCACCUGCCUAGCAUGUCUGAGUCACUGGGUUCCAUCCCUAGUACCACCAAAAAAAAAAAAAAAUCAGUGGUUGAGAUUGUUAAUUCAUUCAACCAAUGGUUUGUUCUGAGCUGAAAAUCCUGGUAAAUAAUAGUGGCAUGCCUGCUGUAGCAGUACUCGUAGACCGCUGAUGGCAGCCAGCUAUAAAUGCACACAUGAGUAUAAAAUAGGAAGUAGGGUGUGAUUUUCCUACGGUAGACAGGGGGACGUCUCUAAGAAGGUGACAAAUUGAGUAAAAGUCUAAGGGAGGUGAGGGAAGAAGCCACAUGGAUAUCUGCAGAAGUGGUCCUGGCCAGAGUGACAGCUGGUGUGAAGGCCCCGAGCCUUGCGUGUUCACCAGUGCGGAUGCCCACCUGGUGGACCCAGGUGAGUGAGAGGGUGGGGCCUCGCCUUGGGGCCACGGGAGCAGAGUAGGAACGCGUGUGGGGUCUAAGUGGGGAUGGGAGCCUGGAAGCCUAUCCGCUCUGGCCUGAGUCUAGGCAGUGAAGCGUGAGAAGCGCUGCAAUGGUGAGGACUUGAGAGGUUUGAGAUCUGGCCUGAUGCAGGGAACAGACCAAGAGGAGCUGCCCCAGGGAGCCCUUUACUGCAGAGGGACAGUUGUUAGGAGUAGGUUCUAUUUGUCUCUCCAGGCCAACGAGGGCGUGCCCAUCUCUAUGGGGGACAGCAUCUUCGUGGGAGGUAAGGGCUUGGGGCUGCUGCGGGUGGGCCAAGACCCUUCUCUCCAAACCUGCUGGCAGUGAAGGGUAUCCUCGUGCGUUCCAGAUGCAGCAGGCCGCCCAGCCAACUGGGCCCCUGGCCGUAAGAAGAAAGACUUUUCCUGCGCUGACCGAUUGGUGAGCAGGUGACCGAUUGGGGAUCGGUCACCAAUGGUGAGCCCCGCACCCCGCCCUCGAUCUCUGCCUCACCUCUGCCUUUGCCCCAGUUUGCGCUCAACCUUGGCCUGCCCUUCGCCACCCCGGAGGAGUUCUUCCUUAAGCAGCCCACAGCAGCCUUUGUCCUCCCAGCAUUUGACCCGGUGAGGCCCGAGGGGUGGAAGGCAGGGAACAAGCAGGGGAAUGAGGGUCUCAACUUCUUGUUCCACCCCUCCUAGAGGACUGUCUCCUGCUCAGGGCCUCUCUGCCUCCCAGAGUCCAGCUCCCUCCUGAGCUCUGACCCAGAGGUGGUUGUCGCCGUGGGAUU
rnacentral:lncRNA from 1 species